rnacentral:rRNA from 1 species
UGAUGGCGAGUGGCGAACGGGUGAGUAAUACAUCGGAACGUGCCCUGUAGUGGGGGAUAACUAGUCGAAAGAUUGGCUAAUACCGCAUACGACCUGAGGGUGAAAGUGGGGGACCGCAAGGCCUCAUGCUAUAGGAGCGGCCGAUGUCUGAUUAGCUAGUUGGUGGGGUAAAGGCCCACCAAGGCGACGAUCAGUAGCUGGUCUGAGAGGACGAUCAGCCACACUGGGACUGAGACACGGCCCAGACUCCUACGGGAGGCAGCAGUGGGGAAUUUUGGACAAUGGGCGAAAGCCUGAUCCAGCAAUGCCGCGUGUGUGAAGAAGGCCUUCGGGUUGUAAAGCACUUUUGUCCGGAAAGAAAUGGCUCUGGUUAAUACCUGGGGUCGAUGACGGUACCGGAAGAAUAAGGACCGGCUAACUACGUGCCAGCAGCCGCGGUAAUACGUAGGGUCCAAGCGUUAAUCGGAAUUACUGGGCGUAAAGCGUGCGCAGGCGGUUGUGCAAGACCGAUGUGAAAUCCCCGAGCUUAACUUGGGAAUUGCAUUGGUGACUGCACGGCUAGAGUGUGUCAGAGGGGGGUAGAAUUCCACGUGUAGCAGUGAAAUGCGUAGAGAUGUGGAGGAAUACCGAUGGCGAAGGCAGCCCCCUGGGAUAACACUGACGCUCAUGCACGAAAGCGUGGGGAGCAAACAGGAUUAGAUACCCUGGUAGUCCACGCCCUAAACGAUGUCAACUAGUUGUUGGGGAUUCAUUUCCUUAGUAACGUAGCUAACGCGUGAAGUUGACCGCCUGGGGAGUACGGUCGCAAGAUUAAAACUCAAAGGAAUUGACGGGGACCCGCACAAGCGGUGGAUGAUGUGGAUUAAUUCGAUGCAACGCGAAAAACCUUACCUACCCUUUGACAUGC